GGCCAUAUUAUAUUGAAACACUGGUUCUCGUACGAUCACCGAAGUUAAGCAACGUCUAACCUGGUCAGCACCUAGAUAGGUGAACGCUUGGGAAUAUCAUGUGUUGUAA